rnacentral:misc_RNA from 1 species
AACUUUUGACAACGGAUCACUUGGUUCUGGCAUCGAUGAAGAACGCAGCGAAAUGCGAUAAGUGAUGUGAAUUGCAGAAUUCAGUGAAUCAUCGAAUCUUUGAACGCACAUUGCGCCCCUUGGUAUUCCGAGGGGCAUGCCUGUUCGAGCGUCAUUACAACCCUCAAGCUUUGCUUGGUAUUGGGCUCCGCUGCUUAGCUAGCGGGCCUUAAAAUCAGUGGCGGUGCCGCUGGGCCCUGAGCGUAGUAAACAUCCUCGCUACAGGGACCCAGCAGACGCUGGCCAUCAACCCCCACUUUCUAAGUUUGACCUCGGAUCAGGUAGGGAUACCCGCUGAACUUAAGCAUAUCAAUAAGCGGAGGCU